AGUCCAAAUCUUCCACCCACCUCACAGGCCAGCACUCAUAAACAGGCCAGUUACACAAACCUGGCCUCAGACUUUAGUUUUGACGAGACUCAGGUCAGGAGACGAGAGGCUGGCUUACAAAAAAGGGGUUUAAACACGAACGCACACAGGCACAGACACUGCUGAGUCCAGGGAGCAGGGAUUUACUACAGGAAGUGAAGAAGAGAGGAACCUGGAUGGACACCCUCUGCAGUCUCAGUGGCCUGGACCCUCUCUGGGACUGGAACGUCACAUGGUACACACUACAUCCAGACCUCACCCAGUGUUUCCAGCACACAAUACUGGUGUGGUUCCCCUGUUUCUAUCUCUGGGUUUGUGCCCCUUUCUACUGCUUGUACCUCAAAUUUUACGACAAUGGACGCAUAUCUAUAUCCAGCCUCUACUGUGCCAAGACGGGUUUGGGUCUCUGUCUGGCUUCCUUUGGUUUCCUGGAGAUGGUCUAUCUCCUGGUGGAAAGGAGCAGAGAUAUCGAGCGUCACAUGGUCUUUCUCCUGAGCCCUAUAAUUCGCAGCCUUACCAUGAUAUUGGCAGUGUUGGUGAUCCACUUGGAGAGGCUGAGGGGCUUUCGGUCCUCUGUAUUUCUCUUCCUGUUUUGGACGCUGGCAAUCGUCUGCUCGCUUGUGCCUCUCAGAGCCAACAUACAAGCCAUCAUAGACGAGGGUUUCUCUGCGGAUGCGAUGAGAUUUGUGGCAUUUUUCACAUUCUUCUCUCUCCAGCUGGCUCAGCUCAUCCUCAGCUGUUUUGCUGAUAAACGCCCAGCAACUUUUAAUCGUGUAUAUGUAAAGAAUCCAUGUCCAGUUGAGGAUGCUUCUUUCCUUUCAAAAAUACUUUUCUGGUGGUACGGCAGACUGGUGGUAAAGGGCUACCGCUCACCUUUAAAAGCUGAAGACCUCUGGUCUCUACGAGAAGAGGAUACAUCUGAAAAAAUCAUCUGUGAUCUAGAGAAAGAGUGGGCCAAGCAAUGCGCCAAACUGCAACAGCAAGAGAGCUCUCUGAACGGAUCACAAGCUCUUGGUUAUAAGCUUAGCGAGCAGAAGCAGCUGCUCAGAAAACUUCAUAAAGAACAAAGCUCAGGCUUCUGUCUGCUACGUACACUAGCCAAAAACUUUGGCCCCUACUUCCUGACUGGGACUCUCUGUUUGGUCAUUCAAGAUGCUUUCAUGUUCUCCAUACCACAAGUGUUGAGCUUACUGCUCGGGUUUGUGAGGGAUGAAGAUGCCCCCUUGUGGAAGGGUUACCUCUUUGCCUUUCUGUUGUUCCUGUUGUCUUGUCUGCAGUCCCUGUUCAAUCAUCAGUACAUGUAUACCUGCUUCACAGUGGGCAUGAGGGUUAAAACUGCAGUUAUGGGCCUAGUGUACAGGAAGUCUCUGGUCAUCAACAGCGCAGCCCGUCGAACAUGUACAGUCGGAGAGAUAGUGAACUUGGUUUCGGCGGACACCCAGAAACUCAUGGAUUUCGUGGUGUACUUCAACGCAGUGUGGGUGGCCCCGAUUGAAAUCGCCUUAUGUCUUUUCUUCCUCUGGCAGCGUCUCGGUCCAUCUGCGUUGGCUGGCAUCGCCACUGUGAUUCUCAUCUUCCCUUUAAAUGGGUUACUUGCCAAAAUGAGAAGCAAGCUCCAGGAGGUCCAGAUGAAGUACAUGGAUGGCCGAAUUAAGCUUAUGAAUGAGAUUUUGAACGGAAUAAAGAUCCUGAAGUUUUAUGCCUGGGAAAAUGCUUUCAGAGAACGUGUUCUUGGCUACAGGGAAAAAGAGCUAAAUGCUUUGAAGAAGUCUCAGAUCCUUUACUCAAUAUCAAUCGCCUCCUUCAACUCCUCAACUUUCUUGAUUGCAUUUGCCAUGUUUGGAGUGUACGUGUUGAUAGACGAUAGGCAUGUUCUGGAUGCUCAGAAGGUCUUUGUGUCCAUGGCUCUCAUCAAUAUUCUCAAAGCUCCACUCAGUCAACUGCCCUUCGCAAUGAGCACUACCAUGCAGGCUGUGGUUUCUCUCAAACGUCUCGGAAAGUUUCUGUGUCAAGACGAGCUGAAACCAGACAGUGUGGAGAGAGCUCCCUACAAUCCUGAUGUUGAUGGUGUUGUUAUUGACAAUGGCACUUUCAGCUGGUCUAAAGAUAGUACACCAUGUCUCAAGAGGAUCAAUAUCAAAGUGCAACGUGGUUCACUGGUGGCUGUGGUAGGUCAUGUGGGCAGUGGAAAAUCCUCUCUUCUGUCUGCGAUGUUAGGAGAGAUGGAAAAGAAAAGUGGCCACGUCACAAUUACAGGCUCUGUGGCUUACGUGCCUCAGCAAGCAUGGAUCCAGAAUGCCACUCUGAAAGGCAACAUUUUGUUUGGACGUGAGAGGAAAGGCAGCUGGUACCAGAAAGUGGUGGAGGCCUGCGCUCUCUUACCAGACCUGGAGAUUCUACCUGGAGGAGACUCGACAGAGAUUGGAGAGAAGGGGCUGAAUCUGUCAGGAGGUCAGAAACAGAGAGUGAGUCUGGCACGCGCAGUCUACAAGAAGGCUGAUAUCUAUCUGAUGGAUGAUCCCUUGUCAGCUGUGGAUGCACAUGUGGGUCAGCACAUCUUCAAAAAGGUCAUUGGACCUAAUGGAGUUCUUAAAAAUAAGACUCGAAUCCUGGUGACCCACGGGCUGAGCUUCCUGCCCCAGGCUGACCUGAUCCUGGUGAUGGUGGAUGGAGAAAUCACAGAGAUGGGCUCUUAUGCCGAGCUUUUGAGCGGGCAAAACGCCUUUGCCGACUUUGUUCAGGCCUUUUCUGUUAGCGAACACAAGGAAAGUGCCACCCAUAGAGGGACCAGGAAAUCUGUCUCUCGUCUCAGCAUGACAGACUUCUCAAUUGACCUCUCCCAGGAGCAACUCAUCAGUGGAGACAUGGGAAAUGCCAGUAUACAAACCAUGGAGUCCAUAUCUGACAAAGAACAGGAGCAGGACCAAGAGGAAACUGGGAGACUGACCCAGGCUGACAAAGCCCACACAGGCCGAGUGAAACUGGAGCUGUAUGUGGAGUACUUCAAGACCAUUGGCCUGGCCCUCAUCAUCCCCAUCAUCUUCCUCUAUGCGUUUCAGCAGGCUGCCUCCCUGGCCUACAACUACUGGCUAAGCCUGUGGGCAGAUGAGCCGGUCGUAAAUGGAACUCAGGUCAACACAGAUCUGAAGCUUGGUGUUUUUGGAGCUCUCGGCUUUGCACAAGGAACUGCAAUUUUUGGGACUACUGUGGCUAUUUCACUUGGAGGAAUAAUUGCAUCCCGGCAUCUUCAUUUGGACCUUCUUAACAAUGUACUUCACUCUCCCAUGUCAUUCUUCGAGAGUACACCCAGUGGUAAUCUUCUCAAUCGUUUCUCAAAAGAGAUAGACGCCAUUGACUGCAUGAUCCCUGAUGGUCUAAAGAUGAUGCUGGGCUAUGUGUUCAAACUUCUGGAGGUUUGCAUUAUCGUGCUGAUGGCAACUCCUUUUGCAGGAGUGAUCAUACUGCCACUGACUCUCUUCUAUGUCUUUAUCCAGAGCUUCUACGUGGCCACGUCCUGUCAGUUGCGUAGACUAGAGUCGGUGAGCCGUUCACCCAUCUAUACUCAUUUCAACGAGACAGUUCAAGGAGCUAGCGUGAUCCGGGCCUUUGGUGAACAGCCUAGGUUCAUCCAAGUGGCUAACAGCCGAGUGGACCACAAUCAAACGUCCUAUUUCCCAAGAUUUGUGGCCACCAGGUGGCUGGCAGUAAAUCUAGAGUUUCUGGGUAACUUGCUGGUCCUUGCUGCAGCUAUCUUCUCUGUUUUGGGAAGGGCGACUUUAAGCCCUGGAAUCGUAGGGCUAGCUGUGUCCCACUCUCUCCAGGUGACUGGGAUCCUGAGCUGGAUUGUGAGGGCAUGGACUGAUGUAGAAAACAACAUUGUGUCUGUUGAGCGAGUGAAGGAAUAUGCCGAAACAGAAAAGGAGGCACCAUGGACCUUCGAGGAUAGUCCACUCCCGUCACACUGGCCCAGAUCAGGAUCCAUUGGAUUCCAGGAAUAUGGACUUCAGUACCGCAGGGGUCUUGACUGGGCCUUGAAAGAAAUUUCCCUCAGUGUUAAUGAGAGAGAAAAAGUUGGAAUUGUGGGAAGAACAGGGGCUGGAAAAUCAUCUCUAGCUCUCGGAAUAUUCCGGAUCCUUGAGGCAGCAAAAGGAAAGAUCUACAUAGAUGGGAUAAACAUUGCAGAGAUUGGAUUGCAUGAACUGAGAUCUCGUAUCACCAUCAUCCCACAGGAUCCCGUGCUGUUCUCAGGUUCCUUGCGUAUGAAUCUGGACCCCUUUGAUGGGUACACUGAUGAGGAGGUGUGGAGAUCUCUAGAACUCGCACAUCUCAAGAACUUUGUGUCCGGCCUUCCUGACAAACUCAGCCAUGAGUGUUCAGAGGGUGGAGAGAAUCUCAGUUUGGGUCAGCGGCAGCUGGUUUGCCUGGCUCGAGCUCUCCUCAGGAAAACCAAGAUUCUGGUUUUGGAUGAAGCCACUGCAGCUGUGGAUCUGGAGACGGACAAUCUGAUACAGUCUACCAUCCGAACUCAGUUUGAGGACUGCACCGUUCUGACCAUCGCACAUCGCCUCAACACCAUCAUGGACUACACAAGGGUGAUUGUGAUGGACAGAGGGCACAUCACAGAGAUGGACUCUCCAUCCAAUCUGAUCGCUCAGCGUGGUCAGUUCUACCGAAUGUGCCGCGAGGCUGGGCUAGUGUGAUCCUAUAAAAGAACCACCGGUGACAGAAUCAACUCUUCACUCGUGAGACUAUGAAAAUAAUGGUGCAGAACAUCUCACCAAUACACCUUCUGACACUACCUGAAUCUUUUCAUCACAGUACUUACCAAAGGACAUGCCUUGCCUUCUCAAUCAAGAGAAGCACAAAGCUCAGGAUGAAGAGGUAUUGUCCGUAAUAGCCGUUCUACAAGAGCAGGUGUCCACGUCCAACUGAGAUCCUAAAGGAACAGACUGAUUGUCUAAUGACGUCAACAUUCAUUCAUCUCAGAAUAUGAAGACUUGAGUAGGUCAAAAUAAUGCACACUUCAGAUGGUAUGCAUAGCCAUGUUCACCAUCUCUCAUUGCUGUCAAAUUGAAGUUUUGUAGAAGAUCCUGAAAAGACGCAGCUAUAGAACUAGUCAAUUCUACUUGAAGGAGUUUAUUAAUCAUCAUGUCAGCACAUUAAACCCGAAAUUCUUAUAAAAGGUGAAAGCUGUAAGCUAUUUAUGAUGUGAGAAACAUCGAUUCAAGUUAAAAACAAUGCAACAGUCAUUCUUAUAAAGAAUUUGUCUGUUUUCAGACUGAUCUCAUGAAGUAGUGCGUGUAUGACACGCCAAUUCGUAUUUCCAUUUUUGGCGUGCUAUCAAC